rnacentral:rRNA from 1 species
GAUGAACGCUGGCGGCGUGCCUAAUACAUGCAAGUAGAACGCUGAAGGAAGGAGCUUGCUCUUUCCGGAUGAGUUGCGCACGGGUGAGUAACGCGUAUGUAACCUGCCUGGUAGCGGGGGAUAACUAUUGGAAACGAUAGCUAAUACCGCAUAACAGUCGAUUUUGCAUGAUAUCUACUUAAAAUUCGCAAUUGCACCACUACCAGAUGGACCUGCGUCGUAUUAGCUAGUUGGUGAGGUAACGGCUCACCAAGGCGAGGAUACAUAGCCGACCUGAUAGGGCGAUCGGCCACACUGGGACGGAGACACGGCCCAGACUGCUACGGGAGGCAGCAGUAGGGAAACUGGGGGAAGAGGCGGAAGACUGACCGAGCAACGCCGCGGGAGUGAAGAAGGGUGUCGGAUCGUAAAGCACUGUUGUAAGAGUAGAACGAGUGUGAGAGUGGAAAGUUCACACUGUGACGGUAACUGAUCAGAAAGGGACGGCUAACUACGUG